GGUGGUGGUUAUUGUCAAUCCAAAAAUACUUUGGCUUUGUAUGAAAUUCUUUUAGUUAUGAAACAUAAAAGAUUAGAUGGAUCCAAAUAUGUUGUGGAAGCUCGAGGCAGUAUACAACAUCAAAAAUCAUUGCAAAAAUGCAAAAAGGUCCAAGCUACUGAGGUAUUAGUUUAUGGAUUUGAAUUAAUGUAGCAAGUGGCAAGUUGGUAUUGAAGAGUAAU
rnacentral:lncRNA from 1 species